AGUGAACGCUGGCGGUAGGCCUAACACAUGCAAGUCGAACGGCAGCACAGUAAGAGCUUGCUCUUACGGGUGGCGAGUGGCGGACGGGUGAGGAAUACAUCGGAAUCUACUUUUUCGUGGGGGAUAACGUAGGGAAACUUACGCUAAUACCGCAUACGACCUACGGGUGAAAGCAGGGGAUCUUCGGACCUUGCGCGAUUGAAUGAGCCGAUGUCGGAUUAGCUAGUUGGCGGGGUAAAGGCCCACCAAGGCGACGAUCCGUAGCUGGUCUGAGAGGAUGAUCAGCCACACUGGAACUGAGACACGGUCCAGACUCCUACGGGAGGCAGCAGUGGGGAAUAUUGGACAAUGGGCGCAAGCCUGAUCCGGCCAUACCGCGUGGGUGAAGAAGGCCUUCGGGUUGUAAAGCCCUUUUGUUGGGAAAGAAAAGCAGCAGGUUAAUACCCCGCUGUUCCGACGGUACCCAAAGAAUAAGCACCGACUAACUUCGUG
rnacentral:rRNA from 1 species